rnacentral:lncRNA from 1 species
AAGCUGACAACCUCUAUGUACCUGCAGAAUCCAAAUUGGUAUAUGUCAUUAGGACCAGAGGUGUCAAUGUUGUUAUCUCAAAGCUCUGUAAGGUGUUGCAGCUUCUUCACCUAUACCAGAUCUUCAGUGGCACUUUUGUGCCUCUCAGCAUGCUGAGGGUUGUGGAACUAUAUAUUGCAUGGGCCUCUCCAAACCUAAAGUCAAUAAAUGGAGUAACUGCAAGUGUGGUUAUGGCAAAAUCAAUAAGAAGCAAAUGACCCUGAAAGAUAACUCAUCAAUUGCUCAAUCUCUUGAUUUUUGUAAGCAUGAUAAACACAUAUAUGGAGAAGAAGUAGAAAACUUUGAGAGCCAUUGGUGGACCAAUUGGUUUCCAGACAAAUUGUUCAUUGAAAUGACCUAACAGGUAAAAAAGAUUUUGGUUAAAUGUUCAAAAUGGAAAAUAAUUAAAGCACUACUCCUUGAGCUAUGUUGAAUAACUUGCACCAAUAUAAUAAACACAAUUUAAAAAUUAGUUGUAGCAAUCUUUUUAUUUAAUAUGACACCAUUUUAAUGCAACAAAAAUGAAUUUAGAUUUGUUUAGUAUUUGAGAGCAAUACUGAGAAUAAAAAGGUUCUGAUUAUGGCAUUCAUUAGUUUUAUUUUCAGCAAUGUGACAUUUUUCACUUGUAUUUUAAUUUGAAAAUAUAUAUUAUUUACUUAUUAAUUUGUCCA